UAGAAGGGAACUCUUCGAACAAAGGGUGGAAAACCUACUUUUUAUUCAUUUUUUGGGUUCGAAGGGUUGCCGAUUGGCAACAACUAGUACGAACUAGACAUUGCCUCCUUGAACAUCCGCCCUACCUUAUUAGCCUCAGAUGAGCAGAUCCUCCGGGUGUUUAUGGACUUGGGUUGGGUCAUCAACAUUGUUGAGUUGUGUCAUCAACACUGUUGAGUUGGGAGAUGGGAGUUUCCUCGCUUGACAUGGUCUAAGUCCAGUGUCGCUUCGUCGCUCAAUUCAAGAGGCCUUUGCCCUCCAUGAUGCCCAGACUCAGAGCGGGGUUGUGUCAUCGAGGCCGGAGAUUGCGAGAGACGAAAACGGAGGCUUCUGAUCUUCCUCUUGAGAUACGGGAAUACGGCGAAAGAAGAGGAAGCAUCCCCAUCCAGGGCGGUGGCGGAUCAUCCAAUGUUGAGGAUCUGCCCAUGUUUAUGGAGUGAAGGGACCUUUCGCAAGGUCAGUCUAUCCCAUCGGGCAGAUUUUCGAAUUGUGUUGGGGCCUCCAGAGAAGCAACCCCUCAUGGGCCAUUGCCAGUGGGCCAUGUUUCCUUGAUGAGAGUGUUUACGGUUGAAGAGGUUCUUAGAAUGAGGCGGUUGAGGCCAGGUGCAACUGUGCAGCCCUAGACGACUAGAACCGACUGAAGAUUGUGCCCUUCGACCGAUGCUCGAUCUUCAAAGAUUGUCUAGCUUCUGGACUCAGAUGUGCCGUUUUCCAGAGGACCGUACAACCUUGGGCAACAUGUUCGUGCACGGGCUGUGCCAAAAAGGGAGGGCAACGCUUGUUCAGGGCAUGUUCUCACUUGGUUGGGCAGGAGCAACUGACCAUUCUCAAAGCCAAGUUGCGAUGGUGGUGGAGACUCACUAGGCCGAGCGUUCCCAUUGAUUGGAUAGAGAGAAAGAGUUAUUCGGUCAUUUUACGAGCGUUAAAUGUCCUCUCAGGCUCGUCUUUGCAAGGGAGAAAUGGCCUUACAGCACGAACGCGCCACAAGGGAAGAGGUCGAGUGGCGGGCGGCUCGACUAGAAGUCGACCUUAAGUCCUUGGAGGAUCGACAGUCCGUCGCGCAGAGUGAAGAGGAUGAAGCGAAUAGUGAAUGAGCGCUCAUGUAUAUUUUUCCUUUUUGGUAGACUUUUUUUGAAUGAAAGAUCUUAUUUCCACUUGUAUUGUUC